rnacentral:rRNA from 1 species
GUGUCAGCAGCCGCGGUAAUACGGAGGGGGUUAGCGUUGUUCGGAAUUACUGGGCGUAAAGCGCGCGUAGGCGGAUUGGAAAGUUGGGGGUGAAAUCCCGGGGCUCAACCCCGGAACUGCCUCCAAAACUUCCAGUCUGGAGUUCGAGAGAGGUGAGUGGAAUUCCGAGUGUAGAGGUGAAAUUCGUAGAUAUUCGGAGGAACACCAGUGGCGAAGGCGGCUCACUGGCUCGAUACUGACGCUGAGGUGCGAAAGUGUGGGGAGCAAACAGGAUUAGAUACCCUGGUAGUCCACACCGUAAACGAUGAAUGCCAGUCGUCGGCAAGCAUGCUUGUCGGUGACACACCUAACGGAUUAAGCAUUCCGCCUGGGGAGUACGGCCGCAAGGUUAAAACUUAAAGGAAUUGGCGGGG